rnacentral:lncRNA from 1 species
CCCAGACCCCACUAAGUGGGAUUAUACUGUGUUGUUGUUGUUGUAUAGUUUCAGCCACUUGAGGUUAUCUUGGACUUCUUUUUCCAAAUAUCUUACUGGAAGAAACAAUUUGUGAUGCUCUUCCUCUCCCUUAAGAAUUGUCCUGCACCUUCAUUUAAAUAAAAUUUCAAGAAGGUAUCCACAUUAUAUUGCUUUCCUCCACCAACUGUUACUUUAUUGCUUGGCACCAUGGAAAUCAAAUUGUUUUUUUCUCGAAACCUGAAACUCAUGAGUUUCUUUCUUUAAGGUGCCAUAUGGUUCCACCUCCUCUUACUGGGCCAUAUGGGAGUACUCAAAUAAAUUCAGUUUAGAGGGGUGUCUUUCCCGGUUCUUUUCCUUGACAAUAAUAGUUGUAAUAGAAAAUUCCAAUCAAAGGACUGCACCCUUUCCCCUCUUGUAUUUGUAAAUUUUAUACCCCNN